rnacentral:rRNA from 1 species
UACGUAGGGCGCAAGCGUUAUCCGGAAUUAUUGGGCGUAAAGAGCUCGUAGGCGGUCUGUCGCGUCUGCUGUGAAAACCUGGGGCUUAACCCCGGGCCUGCAGUGGGUACGGGCAGACUAGAGUGUGGUAGGGGAGACUGGAAUUCCUGGUGUAGCGGUGAAAUGCGCAGAUAUCAGGAGGAACACCGGUGGCGAAGGCGGGUCUCUGGGCCAUAACUGACGCUGAGGAGCGAAAGCGUGGGGAGCGAACAGG